rnacentral:rRNA from 1 species
CCUACGGGAGGCAGCAGUGAGGAAUAUUGGUCAAUGGACGAGAGUCUGAACCAGCCAAGUAGCGUGAGGGAUGACUGCCCUGUGGAUUGUAAACUUCUUUUAUCAAGGAAUAAAACGCGGCACGUGUGCCUUUUUGCGUGUACUUUAUGAAUAAGGAUCGGCUAACUCCGUGCCAGCAGCCGCGGUAAUACGGAGGAUCCGAGCGUUAUCCGGAUUUAUUGGGUUUAAAGGGAGCGUAGAUGGGUUGUUAAGUCAGGUGUGAAAGUUUGCGGCUCAACCGGAAAAUUGCAAUUGAUACUGGCAGUCUCGAGUAGAGUUGAGGUAGGCGGAAUUCGUGGUGUAGCGGUGAAAUGCUUAGAUAUCACGAAGAACUCCGAUUGCGAAGGCAGCUUACCAAACUGUGACUGACACUGAUGCUCGAAAGUGUGGGUAUCAAACAGGAUUAGAUACCCUGGUAGUC